rnacentral:lncRNA from 1 species
GAGAAGGGACCUGAAUUUCCUUGGUAUCAUCUGGUGACCAUGGAGAGACCAUGCGAACGUUUCAAGUAACAGUGUGGCUUGAGGAAGUACUCGACUGUAUUAUGAGCAUUCUAAUGAUGGCUACAAUUGGCCAAGCGAUGAAGAAUGAAUCCUGAGAGAGCUAAGCCAACAACAGUCAUGUCUAGAAAACAGUGAAACCACGACUUAAACUUGGUCUGUCUGGCAUCAGAUACUUCAAGUAGCCUGUCCCUGCACCUGCCUCUCUGUGCAAGCUG